CCGCGUUGAUGGGCGCGCAGCGGGCUCUGAAAGCUCGACCGUGGGCCGGGCGCUGUGGCGCACGCCUGUAAUCCCAGCACUUUGGGAGGCCAAGGUGAUGCUGGACGUGACAGAGAAGGUGACAGGUCACCCUGAGUGCGGGACUCCGUGUGAGUCUGAACGAAGUGGGCCUCCAGGUACCACGCCUUUGCUUCUGCUGUGGCAUCUGAUGAGUUCCCUGUUCAUCUCUCCAGGCAUACCCAGGGCAAUCGGCCCUGAUGCCCAGGGGCUAGGCUUGCAAGACUGCGCAUUACGUUCGCAGAGCCGGAGUGCAAGGCCAGACCUGGUACCAACAGCAUCUCUGCCUUCGUCCUCAUCUGGUUCCCGCCUCAAACCUGUACCCGUGCUGGGGAGCCUGGAAGAUUAUUGAUCUGACCGGAACAGUCCAGGUUCCAUGAUGCAAGCAGUGGUGUCUGUCAUCUGACUUUGAGAGACAUCUGGCUCUGUUUCAGAAGAACUAAAACUAUAGUUCCAGCUACUUCGGAGGCCAAGGUGGGAAGAUGGCUUGAAUCCAGGAGGUUGAGGCUGCAGUGAGGUGUGAUCUCACUACUGCACUGAUCUCACCACUGCACUCCAGCCUGGGCAACAAAGCAAAACCCUGUGUCAAAAAAUAAAGUAAAAUGAAAGAAUUUAAAAUAAUUAUGCAGCAAAAUGUUUACUAUAUUUCUAUAAAUUCAAAUAAAACAUGCC
rnacentral:lncRNA from 10 species